rnacentral:lncRNA from 1 species
AGUUAAGCCACGCGCAAUACGACGAAUAGUUAAUAUUAUAUUUAUUUUAUAAUUAAUAUUAGAAAGUAUAUUUUAAUUAAAUAACAUAAUAUUAAUAAAUUGUCAUUACUUAAAAAUAUAAUUUUUUUACUGCUAAAUAAAUUUCAGAAUUAGUAUUCAAGCAAAAAUUCAAUAUAGAGAAGUAAAAGAAAAGAAGAAAAAAUUAUUUUUUUUGUUCACAGAUAGAAUAAUAUUUGGCAAAAAUUAUAUUAUUGAGAAUAUACAAUUAUAAAGUGUUCGCGGUUCACGUCCGAAGUAAAAUAUUAUCGUUAGUUGAAGCUUAAUAAUUUUAUUCUGCAAACUAUUAAGAUAAUAUAAUAAUUUAGAAGAAAAAAAUAAGCGAGUUCUGUUUAGAAUGUGGUGCUUAUAUAAAUUAAUACAAUCAUUCAACGUGGAGCCCUUACUUAACAAAAAAAAUCCGACUCAAAGAUAGAAACUAUGGAUCAAUUGGUCUGAUUCGGUCCGGUGAAACAGACCAGUUCGAUCAAGCAAAAAAAGAGGGCAAAAAAAGAGGGCACCGGUUUGACGUAGGCAAAAGAAAAAAGAAAGGAAACUUGAGCCAAUUUAGGGUAGAGCUCUUACUCAACUAUAAUCGGUUCGGUUCAAACAAUUAAAAGAAAAAUGAGGUUCAAAAAUGAAAACGUAUAAAGCAAUUUGUCUGGUUCAGCCCAAUGAAGCAAUUUGACUCGGUCUGGUUUAAGUAAAGACAAAAGAAAACCACGUUUGGUUCAAGCAAAGAAAGAUGAAAUUAUUUGGAGGACUUGAGCCGGUUCAAGAUGGCACUCAUACUUGACAAUCCACGACUCGGUCUGGCUUAAGUAGAGACAGAGGGAAACCAUCUUUGGUUCAAAUAAAGAAAGAUGAAAUUAUUUAGAAGACCUGAGCCGGUUCAAGGUGGCACUCAUACUUGACAACGCGGUUCGGUUCAAAUAAAGGAAA